rnacentral:rRNA from 1 species
UCGCAAUGCCCGAAAGGGUGACGAAGCGACGCCGCGUGUGGGAAGAAGGCCUUCGGGUUGUAAACCACUGUCGGGAGUUAAGAAAUGUAAGGAUGUUAAUAGCGUCCUUACUUGACUAAGGCUCCGGAGGAAGCCACGGCUAACUCUGUGCCAGCAGCCGCGGUAAUACAGAGGCGGCAAGCGUUGUUCGGAAUUAUUGGGCGUAAAGAGCACGUAGGCGGCCCUGAAAGUCAGUUGUGAAAGCCUUCCGCUUAACGGAAGAACAGCAUCUGAUACUACAGGGCUUGAGUGCGGGAGGGGAGAGUGGAACUUCUGGUGGAGCGGUGAAAUGCGUAGAUAUCAGAAGGAACGCCGGCGGCGAAAGCGGCUCUCUGGCCCGUAACUGACGCUGAGUGUGCGAAAGCUAGGGGAUCAAACGGGAUUAGAUACCCCGGUAGUCCUAGCCGUAAACGAUGGGCACUAA